rnacentral:lncRNA from 1 species
GCGUUAGGAGCCACAAGAGGGCACUGUUGAGAGACUUUAGCAUAGAAGCCCCAGAAGGCCAGGGCUGGAGGGGGCUUCAGUUGCCCAGGUCAGCCCAUGGUUUGUGGGAGAGGGAGCUGUGACUUCCUGGACCUGGUGGGGCCAGGGGAGGUGAAAUGUGGGGUAACCGUUUAAAGGGUUUUGGAGAAGAUGCUCCUGUUGUCUGCACCCUGGACUCAAGUCAGGAGCCCAGAGAAACACUCUGUCCCUUCCUCCCCAUCUCCCUUCCACCCAGCC